rnacentral:rRNA from 1 species
AGGGCGUAUGGUGGAUGCCUUGGCAGACAGUACCGAUGAAGGACGUUUGAGGCUGCGAUAUGCCUCGGGGAGCCGCCAGCAGGGCUUUGAUCCGAGGAUUUCCGAAUGGGGGAACCCGCCGGCCGUCAUGGGCCGGCACCGCGUUCGCGCGGGGGGUACGCAGGGAAGUGAAACAUCUCAGUACCUGCAGGAAAGGAUGUUCCGUGAGUAGUGGCGAGCGAAAGCGGAUCAGGCCAAACCGCGCGCGUGUGACAGGCGCCAGCCGUUGCGCGCGUGGUGUUGAGGGAGCGUGUGUCCGGGUCCUGGCGGGCCCGGCCGGAGUGAUAAAACGGCGUGUGAGGCGAACCGGAUUGAAUGCCGGGCCGCAGAGGGUGAUGGCCCCGUAGCCGAACGCGCGUCGUCUCCGGAUCGUGUCUCCCAAGUAGCGCGGGACUCGUGGAAUCCCGUGUGAAUCCGCCCCGACCGUGGGGUAAGCCUAGAUAUACCUGUCUGACCGAUAGCGAACUAGUACCGUGAGGGAAAGGUGAAAAGCACCCCGGGAGGGGAGUGAAACAGUCUCUGAAACCGUGCGCUUACAAACCGUCGGAGCCUUUCGGGGUGACGGCGUGCCUAUCGAAAAAUGAGUCUGCGAGUCAGUGGCACGUGGCGAGCGUAACCCGUGUGGGGUACGCGUAGCGAAGGCGAGUCUCAAAAGGCGUUUGAGUCGCGUGUCCUGGACCCGAAGCGGGAUGAUCUAGCCCUGAGCAGGUUGAAGCGCGGGUAAGACCGCGUGGAGGACCGAACCCACCUGGGUUGAAAACCGGGGGGAUGACCUGGGGCUAGGGGUGAAAGGCCAAUCAAAUUCCGUGAUAGCUGGUUCUCUCCGAAAUGCAUUUAGGUGCAGCGUCGGUUGAUUGCGUCGCGGGGGUAGAGCUACCGGAUGCUUGCGGGCCCUUGUUGGGUACCAACAGCAGCCGAACUCCGAAUACCGUUGACGUGUAUUCCGGCAGUGAGUCGGCGGGGGAUAAGCUCCGUCGUCGAGAGGGAGACAGCCCAGACCGUCGUCUAAGGUCCCGAAGCGUGUGCUAAGUGGGAAAGGAUGUGGAGUCGCAUAGACAGCCAGGAGGUUGGCUCAGAAGCAGCCAUCCUUGAAAGAGUGCGUAACAGCUCACUGGUCUAGUGGUUCCGCGCCGACAAUGUAGCGGGGCUCAAGCACGCCACCGAAGACGCGGCAGCGUCCGUUUGGAUGCUGGGUAGGAGAGCGUCCCCAUCGGGGCGAAGCGGCGGCGCAAGCCUGCCGUGGACCGUUGGGGAGUGAGAAUGCAGACAUGAGUAGCGAGAGGCGGGUGCGAAUCCCGCCCGCUGGAUGACCAAGGGUUCCGGGGCCACGUUCGUCGUCCCCGGGUGAGUCGGGUCCUAAGGCGAGGCCGACAGGCGUAGUCGAAUGGAUGAACGGGCUGAUAUUCCCGUACCGGCAGCGAACCGAAACAACCGAGGCCUGGGGCGCUAACCUCCGGGUCCGUGCCGUCUCCCCUUUCGGGGGGUCGCGGCGCGGGCGCGUUGGGAUCCCCCCUCGUAGUAGGUCAGCGCAGGAGUGACGCAUCAGGGCAGCCGGCCGCGGAGGUGGUUUUCCGUGGUCAAGCGUUCGAGCCCGUCCCGCAGGCAAAUCCGCGGGGCGUCGGGGCGAGGCGUGAUGAUGGGGGCCUUACGGCCCGAAUCCGGUGAUCCGUGGUGCCGAGAAAAGCUUCGGCGUCAGGCGCGUUGCCGCCCGUACCCCAAACCGACACUGGUGGUCAGGUAGAGAAUACCAAAGCGAUCGAGCGAAUCCUGGUCAAGGAACUCGGCAAAUUGCUCCCGUGCCUUCGGCAUAAGGGAGACCCCCUGCGGUGAUGAGCGGCGGGGGGUGGCACAGGCCAGGGGGUAGCGACUGUUUACCAAAAACACAGGAGCGUGCGAAGGCGCAAGCCGCUGUAUACGCUCUGACGCCUGCCCGGUGCCGGAAGGUUAAGAGGAUCCGUCAGCUUCUGCGAAGCGGUGAAUUCAAGCCCCGGUAAACGGCGGUGGUAACAAUAACCAUCCUAAGGUAGCGAAAUUCCUUGUCGGGUAAGUUCCGACCUGCACGAAUGGCGUAACGACUUCCCCACUGUCUCGACCAGGAGCUCGGCGAAAUUGCAGU